GCGGCGGACGGGUGAGUAACACGUGGGUAACCUGCCCAUAAGACUGGGAUAACUCCGGGAAACCGGGGCUAAUACCGGAUAACAUUUUGAACUGCAUGGUUCGAAAUUGAAAGGCGGCUUCGGCUGUCACUUAUGGAUGGACCCGCGUCGCAUUAGCUAGUUGGUGAGGUAACGGCUCACCAAGGCAACGAUGCGUAGCCGACCUGAGAGGGUGAUCGGCCACACUGGGACUGAGACACGGCCCAGACUCCUACGGGAGGCAGCAGUAGGGAAUCUUCCGCAAUGGACGAAAGUCUGACGGAGCAACGCCGCGUGAGUGAUGAAGGCUUUCGGGUCGUAAAACUCUGUUGUUAGGGAAGAACAAGUGCUAGUUGAAUAAGCUGGCACCUUGACGGUACCUAACCAGAAAGCCACGGCUAACUACGUGCCAGCAGCCGCGGUAAUACGUAGGUGGCAAGCGUUAUCCGGAAUUAUUGGGCGUAAAGCGCGCGCAGGUGGUUUCUUAAGUCUGAUGUGAAAGCCCACGGCUCAACCGUGGAGGGUCAUUGGAAACUGGGAGACUUGAGUGCAGAAGAGGAAAGUGG
rnacentral:rRNA from 1 species